rnacentral:tRNA from 1 species
GGAGGUACAGAUCAAUGGCAGAGUGCACGCCUAGCAUGUAUGAGGUCCUGGGUUCAAUCCCCAGUAUCUCCA